UAUGAUAAAAGCUCUGAGUUAUGCAAACCCCAAGGACUUGCUCAGCUCCUUGCAGGCCAGCUCAGCUCCAUGCAAGAAGUCAGCCACCCAUGCCACCCCUCCUGAUGAAGCGGCAGAGAGUUCUACCUUCAGGAGAACCUUAAAAUACCAACUGGCAGAGCCAGCAGUGGCAUGGUAACUAAGGUGCUCGAUUACCACGUGACUGAUCAUGGUUCAAAUCUCAGACCUUGCGGCUUGCUUCAUCACUUCC